rnacentral:lncRNA from 1 species
GUCUGGACAGAGAGUGAGCCUGGCUCAUUCAGACCCUGGGCACCAUUCAGAGCAGAACUCAGUGGUAUAGACACGUGUGGCCGUUUACGCUGUAGGAUCCUCAUUCCCACUGGCUUUGAACAUUUUGGGGACUUACAAUGCCGCCACCCGCGGACAUCGUCAAGGUGGCCAUAGAAUGGCCGGGCGCCUACCCCAAACUCAUGGAAAUUGAUCAGGGCUGUAGGUUCUGCCUGAGGUUGCCACCAUUAACUUAAUGGGACAUUUUUUGAGACUCAGAAGCCACGUCCCUCCACUACCUGCUGGCAGAUGUCUCAUCAUGUCCAUUGCCACUCAAGAAAGGAGGAUGAAUUGCCAUUAGUACAUCCACUCAAAAGCACGCAGACCAACUAGUAGCAAAGAGAGACAAGAAGUACA